UUGUUCGGAAUUACUGGGCGUAAAGGGCCAGUAGGCGGCCAACUAAGUCCGACGUGAAAUCCCCAGGCUUAACCUGGGAACUGCGUCGGAUACUGGAUGGCUUGAAUUCGGGAGAGGGAUGCAGAAUUCCAGGUGUAGCGGUGAAAUGCGUAGAUAUCUGGAGGAAUACCGGUGGCGAAGGCGGCAUCCUGGACCGACAUUGACGCUGAACGGCGAAAGCUAGGGGAGCAAACGGG
rnacentral:rRNA from 1 species